UAGAUAGGACCACUCAAAGACACCCUGUA
rnacentral:piRNA from 1 species